CCGAGUUUACAACUCCCAAACCCCUGUGAACAUACCUUAUGUUGCCUCGGCGGAUCAGCCCGCGCCCCGUAAAAGGAGACGGCCCGCCGCAGGAACCCUAAACUCUGUUUUUAGUGGAACUUCUGAGUAUAAAAAACAAAUAAAUCA
rnacentral:misc_RNA from 1 species